rnacentral:rRNA from 1 species
ACGCGUGAGGGAGGAGGCUCUUGGGUUGUAAACCUCUUUUCUCAGGGAAGAAGCUCUGACGGUACCUGAGGAAUCAGCCUCGGCUAACUCCGUGCCAGCAGCCGCGGUAAUACGGAGGAGGCAAGCGUUAUCCGGAAUUAUUGGGCGUAAAGCGUCCGCAGGUGGCGAUUCAAGUCUGCUGUCAAAGCACGGGGCUUAACUCCGUUAAGGCAGUGGAAACUGAAUAGCUAGAGUGCCGUAGGGGUAGAGGGAAUUCCCGGUGUAGCGGUGAAAUGCGUAGAGAUCGGGAAGAACAUCGGUGGCGAAAGCGCUCUACUGGACGGCAACUGACACUCAGGGACGAAAGCUAGGGGAGCGAAUGGGAUUAGAUACCCAGUAGUC